AAUCAACGCUGGCGGCGUGCCUAACACAUGCAAGUCGAACGCGAAAAUGGAGCAAUCCAUGAGUAGAGUGGCAAACGGGUGAGUAACACGUGGGUGACCUGCCUUCGAGUGGGGGAUAACGUCCCGAAAGGGACGCUAAUACCGCAUAAUAUGCUGUCUUUUUAAGAGAGAGACAUCAAAGCCGGGGACCGCAAGGCCUGGCGCUUGAAGAGGGGCCCGCGCCUGAUUAGCUAGUUGGUGGGGUAAUGGCUCACCAAGGCAACGAUCAGUAUCCGGCCUGAGAGGGCGGACGGACACACUGGGACUGAGACACGGCCCAGACUCCUACGGGAGGCAGCAGUGGGGAAUUGUUCGCAAUGGGCGCAAGCCUGACGACGCAACGCCGCGUGGAGGAUGAAGAUCUUCGGGUCGUAAACUCCUUUCGAUCGAGACGAAUGGCCCUUGGGAUAAUACCCUGAGGGAGUGACGGUACCGAGAGAAGAAGCCCCGGCUAACUCCGUGCCAG
rnacentral:rRNA from 1 species